AGAGUUUGAUCAUGGCUCAGAACGUACGCUGGCGGCACGCCUAACACAUGCAAGUCGAACGAAGUAGCAAUACUUAGUGGCAGACGGGUGAGUAACAUGUAGGUAUCUGCCCUUUGGCCUGGAAUAACACGAGGAAACUUGUGCUAAUACCGGAUAAGUCUUUACGGAGAAAGCUUUAUGCACCAUUGGAUGAGCCUGCACUUGAUUAGUUUGUUGGUGGGGUAAUGGCCUACCAAGACUGUGAUCAAUAGCUGAUUUGAGAGGAUGAUCAGCCACAUUGGGACUGAGACACGGCCCAAACUCCUACGGGAGGCAGCAGUGGGGAAUCUUGCACAAUGGAGGAAACUCUGAUGCAGCGAUGCCGCGUGAGUGAAGAAGGCCCUUGGGUUGUAAAGCUCUUUCGUCGGGGAAGAAAAUGACUGUACCCGAAUAAGAAGGUCCGGCUAACUUCGUGCCAGCAGCCGCGGUAAUACGAAGGGACCUAGCGUAGUUCGGAAUUACUGGGCUUAAAGAGUUCGUAGGUGGUUGAAAUAGUUGGUGGUGAAAUCCCAGAGCUUAACUCUGGAACUGCCAUCAAAACUUUUCAGCUAGAGUAUGAUAGAGGAAAGCAGAAUUUCUAGUGUAGAGGUGAAAUUCGUAGAUAUUAGAAAGAAUACCAAUUGCGAAGGCAGCUUUCUGGAUCAUUACUGACACUGAGGAACGAAAGCAUGGGUAGCGAAGAGGAUUAGAUACCCUCGUAGUCCAUGCCGUAAACGAUGUGUGUUAGACGUUGGAAAUUUAUUUUCAGUGUCGCAGGGAAACCGAUAAACACACCGCCUGGGGAGUACGACCGCAAGGUUAAAACUCAAUGAAUUGACGGGGACCCGCACAAGUAGUGGAGCAUGUGGUUUAAUUCGAAGAACGCGCAGAACCUUACCAACACUUGACAUGUUCGUCGCGACUUUAAGAGAUUAGAGUUUUCGGUUCGGCCGGACGAAACACAGGUGCUGCAUGGCUGUCGUCAGCUCGUGUCGUGAGAUGUUGGGUUAAGUCCCGCAACGAGCGCAACCCUCACUUUUAGUUGCCAUCAUUAAGUUGGGCACUCUGAAAGAACUGCCAGUGAUAAGCUGGAGGAAGGUGGGGAUGACGUCAAGUCCUCAUGGCCCUUACGUGUUGGGCUACACACGUGCUACAAUGGUAUCUACAACAGGAAGCAAGACUGCGAAGUUAAGCAAAUCCCUAAAAGAUACCUCAGUUCGGAUUGCACUCUGCAACUCGAGUGCAUGAAGCUGGAAUUACUAGUAAUCGUGGAUCAGCGUGCCACGGUGAAUGCGUUCCCGGGUCUUGUACACACCGCCCGUCACACCAUGGGAGUUGGUUCUACCUUAAGGCAAGGCUUAAAACCCUUGACCACGGUAUAGUCAGCGACUGGGGUGAAGUCGUAACAAGGUA
rnacentral:rRNA from 2 species